UACGAAGGGUGCAAGCGUUACUCGGAAUUACUGGGCGUAAAGCGUGCGUAGGUGGUUCGUUAAGUCUGAGGUGAAAGCCCUGGGCUCAACCUGGGAAUGGCAUUGGAAACUGGCGACCUAGAGUGCGGUAGAGGGUAGUGGAAUUCCCGGUGUAGCAGUGAAAUGCGUAGAGAUCGGGAGGAACAUCUGUGGCGAAGGCGACUGCCUGGACCAGCACUGACACUGAGGCACGAAAGCGUGGGGAUCAAACAGG
rnacentral:rRNA from 1 species